UCGUGCUAGAUGGGGAGGUAGCGGUGCCCUGUAACCUGCAAUCCGCUAUAGCAGGGUCGAAGUCCCAUUUGAGGCAUGAUACUUGUGGAGUCUGCCCUGAAUAAGUGGCGAGGAUAAUUGGGUCCUGCGCAACGGGAACUUAUGAACCCCGCCAGGUCCGGAAGGAAGCAACGGUAAGUAAGUACUCCCGUGUGCCGUAGGGUAGCCUGAUUUGAGUUAACUGUUCAGGUUACGUCUGUGGUAUCAUGUCGAGAAUGGGUGCACGA
rnacentral:SRP_RNA from 2 species